UCCUUCGUCUUCCGCUCACAAUCACCACCACCACUGUUACCGACCUAAUCUUCUGCUCCUUAUUUCACUAACAAAUCUCAUUAUCCUUUCCUUUCUUCAAACCCAAACUUCGAAAAUUUUCAAUUCAUAUAUCCAAAUCACUUAUAAUUUCUUCAAAUCUGUAUUUCAAUAGCGACCUCUUCUACGACUCUGAUCAAAUUUGUUCUACCUUUUUGAGCUCUUUCCAAGUUUCAACUCCAAUCAACAACAAUCUUUGUUUCAAUUGCUGAUAUUUUAUCAAUUCUGGAAAACCAGAUGUAACACUUGCAUAUUAUUUCUCACCGCACAAAUUCACAAUUACAUCCUUCAAAUCACUUCUGUUUGCAUUGGUGAUACGAUUUCAUGAAUUUACAGUGGAGAUCUGGUUGGUUUUGGAGAUGGCAUUUAAUCCAAUUUCUUCAAUCUUCAGCAAAGCACUCUUAUCUUCGACAUCGACUCUUCUCGAUCCACAGGGAUUGCAGUUCCUUUGCUGAUUUCAAAAGUAUUACUGAAUUUUUGGGUGCAAUUAUCGAACGAGUUGUUGAAUCGGUUAUGGUGAGGUACGCAUUGCUUGAGUUCCGUUAUUCAUUUGUGAUUUCUGCUCAGCCUAGAGAACUUGAAUUUCUAAUGCCAAUUGAUAAAUCAAUUGAAUCUUGUUUCAUUCUCGAUUCACAAACUUCUGUUUUCUAUUCUUCACAUUCAUCUCAUGCUAGAUCUAGUGGUUCCAAGAAUAAAUGUGGUUAUAAUUUUGGUAGCAGUAAGAUGAUGGGUAUUACAACUAAUCGUCAUCUAUUUCGAUUUUUUCUUUAAGUGACUGCUUGUUCAUGUGUUGCUGGUUUCUUUUGCAAAAUCUCUUUGCUGGUAUACACAUCCCAAUUGCAGAUGCUCAGAUUUGGCUUCAGUGUUUGGUUUCUUCACAUGCCUACAGGAUGAAUCAUUUACCUUUCUUAUUAUUUCUUCUCAACCACAACUGCUAUAAUCGCCACUUCAAAUUGUAGUAUACAUCAUAACUCUUGUGUCUGUUAUCCAAUACAGAACAUCAAAAUCCUUGUGUCUGUAACCAACACCGAACAUUAAAACCCUUGUGUCUGUUAACCAACACAGAACAACUUAAACCUUUGAAGAGAAUUUCAACUUUUUCAUACCUAUUACCACUAUAUCUUUUCCACAUCUCAUCCAAUACAACACUUUUCUCAUUGUUUUCUACAACUUCAACUACUUCAUCAAAACCCUCUGAUCUCUGCUCAUCUUACUCGAGUGGCCUUGUUUCACAAAACAAAUCUUGUUUUUCAGAAGGUUUCUAUUGCAAGCUGGAUAAUACUCUUUGGUGUUAUUGAUCCACCAUGUGAUGCAGUUCUGUCAAGCUAAUGUACUGUGUGGAGUCCUUCGCUUGAGGGGGAAGUGUUUGUUGCUCUUUCUUUGUAAUGCAGAUCUAUACCUUUCGUGUAAUUGCUCCAAGCACCUCCAUCAGGGAUAACAUUAUUUAUCGUGUUUGAUAAGCUUUAGGCUUGAGGUUUCCUGUUUGUUUCAAGACUAGACCUUGAAGAUCCUUGAAAUGUCAUAAUUCCAAGUUGUUUCUCCAUGCUAAACAGCAACACUAAUCUCAGUACAGUCAGAACUGCUAUCAGACUUGGUUAUUCUGUAUUUUCCUCUUUAGUUUAUAGUACUUGUUUUUUUUUCUUUCAUAUUAUGUCUUUCUUUUGUGUGCCAAGCUGAUGUCCAGUCCUGUAAUCAAGCUUGAGGGGGAGUGUUAGAGUUAGAAAAUGUGUCUUGUCUUUAUUUCUUACACUGGAUUUACACUUAGUGUUUAUGUCGUCAAGUAUAAAUAGCACGCUGCAGUACGAGUCUUGUAUUGGAACUCUUUACCAGUAAUACACAACGUAGAAAUCUUUCACCUUGCAUCUGGUGAUAUCAUGGUAUCGUGCCUUGGAGAUAAAGAUGGAAAUGCAGAAGGAAAUGGGUUUCUUCUUCUCGAUUCAGAAUUCAAUGUUGAGGGAAGGUGAGAAAAACCAGGACACAGUACAGCCCUCUUUUUGGCUACGACUACUGCACACCAUAACACCAUCAUCAGUACAUCUUGGGGAGCUCCAUUGGCUUUCACAAAGGGCUUCAACCCUCAGAACGUAUCUGAUGGUCUUUAUGGAAGACACAUAUAUGUUUACAGCUGGCCUGGAGGUGAACUUAAACAAACACUUGAUCUUGGCAAUACAGGGCUGAUUCCCUUAGAGAUUAGGUUCCUUCAUGAACCUUCAAGAGAUACAGGGUAUGUUGGGUGUGCGCUCUCUAGCAACAUGGUGAGAUUUUUUGAGAAUCCUGACGAUUCAUGGAGCCAUUAGGUUUCCAUCUCAGUGAAACCAUUGAAAGUCAAAAACUGGAUUCUUCCUGAAAUGCCAGGACUUAUCACUGAUUUUCUCAUCUCUCUUGAUGAUGGUUACAUGUACUUUGUUAAUUGGCUUCAUGGAGAUGAAAAUGGGAACGACUGGCAGUGUGAUGUUCCUGAGGUCCAGCCAGGACGCAUGCAUACUCGGAUUCAUCGUUUCCUUUACAAUGUUUUGCUAGGCAUACUGUUGGCAAGUGAAAUAUUGUAUCCUGGAUACUUGUUAUGAAUACAAUUGAUCUAAAUCUUUGCU